rnacentral:rRNA from 1 species
UACGAAGGGUGCAAGCGUUAAUCGGAAUUACUGGGCGUAAAGCGCGCGUAGGCGGGUCUUUAAGUCUGGUGUGAAAGGUUGAGGGCUCAACCCCAACAGUGCACUGGAUACUGCAGACCUUGAGUUGGGCAGAGGAGAGUGGAAUUCCUGGUGUAGCGGUGAAAUGCGUAGAUAUCAGGAGGAACACCGAUGGCGAAGGCAGCUCUCUGGGCCCUAACUGACGCUGAGGUGCGAAAGCGUGGGGAGCGAACGGGAUUAGAAACCCGAGUAGU